GGAGAGAUGGCCGAGUGG
rnacentral:ncRNA from 2 species